UUGCCAGAUGCCCCACCACUGGAUGGGGGAGUGGUGGUAAUGGAGUAAUGGAACCGGACGGGGCACACCUCUAACUGAAGGGUCAAAACAAUCCAGUUCGCUAGCUGUCACCUGUAAUUGACCUAAAAGCACGUGAAAGAAAAUCCUAAGCCCCUGGAAUCCCGGGAUCCUGCAUCUCCUUGGAGCUGAACCUCACAGGCUGCAGUGGAAGUCCCCAGCCGCUGUACACCAGGCAGUCUCAGGCAUCUUCACCCGCUAUCUACAAGGGACGUACUCACCUCGGCAGUCUUUGCACAACGCCUUCAACCUCUGCCUUUUGAUACAAUCCCGUGAGAGGCGGAUCCCACAAUUCUCACAGCACCUAAAAGGAAAAGAGCCGAGGUCAGUGCUCCCAAUCCCAAGCCUCACCCGCAUGGCUCACCUUAGGCCAACACUCACCCAAGUGCAGGUAACGAGGCUGGAGCUGCGCCCGCGGCAGCGCCAGAGCCAGCAGCAGCGCCAGCGCCAGCCUUACGGCCCUUCCGUGGAGUCUCCUUCCUGACCUCACUCUUCUGGGGCCCAACCUGACGUUUCUUAGCCUUGGCUGGUUUAGAAGGCUUCUUUUUCUUCUUGUUGGGGGCAGGCAAGGGAUGGGUCUGGAGGUGAAGACAGCAAGAAUGUGAGUCAGUACACGGGUGCCAUGUGACUCAGAGGCCCCCUGCAGACACUGACACUGGGAAGCACCUUGGGAACCGGGUAGCACAAGAUGCCUUGUCUGAAGUUGAAGAGGGUGAGGUCACAUGCAGGGCCCAGGUAUCGAGUCAGCUCAACUUUGCUUCGAAUCUUCUCUCCUGUGGGGCUGAGAAUGAACCAGAAGGAAUUGGCACCAAGAUGGUGUUAAUGUCAUGCCCCCCACAGAACAUCCCCACAGAUCCGGUGAGAUGUAGGAAACAGUCUGGAUUCAGCCUGUGAGCCUCACCCAAGUCCUUCAAUAUAACUAACAGGAAUACAAAACAUGAACAUAAAUACCAGCAUGCAGACAAAUGUUAAUAAAUAAUACAACUGUGAACCUCAUUUUUGAUCCAUGACAUCACAUAUUCUAUGGUAAUCACAUAGAAUUAUAAUACAGGGGAAAAUUCUAUUAUCUGACAAUACUGUAAUAAUGUUAAUGUCAUAACACAAAACAGUAUUCAGGCACCUGCAGUGGUGUAUACAAAAGUAUAUACACAAGUGGUGUAUAAAAGAGUAAACAAGCCUAGUGUAUUGCACACUGAUGUACAGUACAUGCUUCAUUAAUAAUUCAAUUACUGGUUUAUAAACUUAGUGAUUCUUAUCAUUUUAGAGUCCUACUUAGCAAAAAAAUGAAUGUACUGUGAAACUGCAAUGUUAGACUAGUGGUAACCUAAUAUAAUUAAAUGGUUACUGCUUCUUUUGACUUCA